ACUUCAAAAAUCAAAAAGUUUCUGGAGUAUUGGAUCAGACUUUUAAAUAACUUGGCAAUAAACAAAAGCUGCCAUUUGGAACAAUUUCCAAAAAAAUAUUCAAAGACAUACAGUAUUGGGAAGUAACUAACCGACACCACCUACUAAAAACUGGCCUCUUCAAAAGAUCAAAAAGUUUCUGGAGUAUUGGAUCAGACUUUUAAAUAACUUGGCAAUAAACAAAAGCUGCCAUUUGGAACAAUUUCCAAAAAAAUAUUCAAAGACAUACAGUAUUGGGAAGUAACUAACCGACACCACCUACUAAAAACUGCCCACUUCAAAAGAUCAAAAAGUUUCUGGAGUAUUGGAUCAGACUUUUAAAUAACUUGGCAAUAAACAAAAGCUGCCAUUUGGAACAAUUUCCAAAAAAAUAUUCAAAGACAUACAGUAUUGGGAAGUAACUAACCGACACCACCUACUAAAAAUUGUUCACUUACGAAGAGACAAACAUUUUUAUUUCAUAAUCGAGCAGAAUAUUUUUCGGAUUAAAUUGCAAUAGAGAAAAACUACAAUUUGGAAUAGAGAAAAACUACAAUUUGGAAUAGUUGGAAAGUUACACACCGCCACCACCCCAUAAAAACUGCCCACUUCAAAAGAUCAAAAAGUUUCUGGAGUAUUGGAUCAGACUUUUAAAUAACUUGGCAAUAAACAAAAGCUGCCAUUUGGAACAAUUUCCAAAAAAAUAUUCAAAGACAUACAGUAUUGGGAAGUAACUAACCGACACCACCUACUAAAAACUGCCCACUUCAAAAGAUCAAAAAGUUUCUGGAGUAUUGGAUCAGACUUUUAAAUAACUUGGCAAUAAACAAAAGCUGCCAUUUGGAACAAUUUCCAAAAAAAUAUUCAAAGACAUACAGUAUUGGGAAGUAACUAACCGACACCACCUAC